rnacentral:lncRNA from 1 species
CUGGAAUAGUUUUCAAGCAGGGCUUCCACUCUAGUAAAUCCAAAUUUGUAAUAGAAGUACCAGAAGCAAGAUUGCAGACAUUUCUGCAGCAUUAUGUACAGAAAGCCUGCCAUGUUCAUUAGCUGAUUUUAAAAUCAUUAGUAGGCAUUUAAAGCAGUGACUUACUUACCUUAUUGUAGUUUGAGAAUAAUACAACCAAACUUCACUAAGACUUUAAAAUUCACCCUAGUGAAUUUUAAACUGCCCUCCCCAUUAAUUUGCCUUAAAUUACAGUGUUGCUUUUUGCCAAGGACCUUUCAGAGAAAUGGGCCAUUUCAUCUACAGGUUGGAGAAAAGUUUAAUUCUGGGGUUAAAGCGUAAAUGAAAGAGAGUGUGCUGAAGAACAGUAAGGCUUAAAAACCCAAGUUAUGUGUAAAUUGUUCUCAACUCAAGAGAAUAUUUGUCCACCUACAUUUUUAAUUCCUCUUUUUAAAAGUCCUCUCUGCUCUUCAACGAUGCUCUGCUCUGUGUCACUCAAGGACACUGGUGGAGAAGCAGCUGUGCCCCUUCCUUAACUAAGAGUUAAAAUGUGAACAUUUAUGCCAUUUCUGUCCAUUUCAGUGCAAAUUCAGACCCUGCUAGGAGCUCCAGUCUCCAAGGACGUUUCACUGGGGGCUGGACUGCAGCUCUGUCUUUGGUACUUGCAUUGCAGCUGCAGCCUUCAUGACAGCAGGUGUUUACUGUGAUUCAGCACGUGCUGUCCUGGUCUGUUCUACAAAAUACCAUGGACUGGGUGAUAACAGAAACUCAUUUCUCACAGAUCUGGGGGCUGGGAAGUUCAAGAUCUGGGUGCCGGCAGAUUUGGUGUCUGCUGAGGGCUCUCUGUCUCCAGGGUAGCACCUCACUGCAGUGUCCUCGUAUGGGAGAAGAGAUGGAAGGGGCUGGCAGAGCCCUCAUGGCCUAGUCACCUCCCAAGGGCCCCACCUCCCCAUAUCAUCAUCUUGGGGUCUCUAUUGAGAUAAAGAGUUCCAGGGAAAGAAAGGUCACAGUGCUCGGUAAACAACCCAGCAAACGGCGGCUCUGCUG